UUAUUCCCAUUGAUGAACUAUGUUAGUAAUGAAUUUUUUCGCAUCGAUGAUUAUUCUCAUGGUGAUUAUAUCACCGUGUUCUCUUCCAUUGACAUUUUUGUCAUGUCUUUUCUCCUAUUGACGAGUCAUGUUAGUAAUCACUUUUUAUUAUCAAUGAUCAUUCCGAUGGUAAUUAUAUCGGUGACUUCUUUUCUCACCGACAAUCAUUUUGGUGAUCCCUUUUCUCAUAGUGGGGAAUUAUAUUAACAUUGAUUUCUUUAUACACCUACAGUCAUUCUGAUGUUGCUUAUAUCUACAGGUUUUAUAAUUCACAACACUUUUCAACCAUAUUUUGUGGAGCCCAUAUAAUUAUUCUUUUAUUUUCAUUCUUAAAUGAAUUAUGUGUAACAAGCUUAAAGUUUACUAAGUUUGAUCUUGAGGGGAGUGUUAGACGAUAUUUGGAUUCAAUGAAUAAUAUAAUCUAAGAUUUAGUUACUUUCAUUUUAUUUGAUUUUAUCUAUAAUUUAUGUGUAUCUUAUUGAUUAUUAUUUGUGUUUUUAUUAUCUUAUCCCUAAGUUAAUUGAAGGUUGCGACGAGCAGGUCAAAAUAGAGAACUUGAGAUAGAGAGAUAGUUCAUGGAUGACGAUGGAGCUACCAUGGACUGGGACGAACCACACCGCCAUGAGACAAACCAUGCCACCGUGAUAAGGUGAUAGCGGGGUUGUCAUGGACUGUGUGUCCUCGUUUCGGCAAGACUCAUAUUGACAUGAGAAUGAGACAAUUAGCAACAAAUUUACAAACUUUGAACAUCUCCAUCGGAGAAUACAAAUUUCAUAUUUAUUUGGGU
rnacentral:lncRNA from 1 species